rnacentral:rRNA from 1 species
CCCCGAGGAAAAGAAAUCAACCGAGAUUCCCCCAGUAGCGGCGAGCGAACGGGGAGGAGCCCAGAGCCUGAAUCAGCAUGUGUGUUAGUGGAAGCGUCUGGAAAGGCGCGCGAUACAGGGUGACAGCCCCGUACACAAAAGCGCAUGUGCUGUGAGCUCGAUGAGUAGGGCGGGACACGUGGUAUCCUGUCUGAAUAUGGGGGGACCAUCCUCCAAGGCUAAAUACUCCUGACUGACCGAUAGUGAACCAGUACCGUGAGGGAAAGGCGAAAAGAACCCCGGCGAGGGGAGUGAAAAAGAACCUGAAACCGUGUACGUACAAGCAGUGGGAGCACAGGUUUACCUGUGUGACUGCGUACCUUUUGUAUAAUGGGUCAGCGACUUAUAUUCUGUAGCAAGGUUAACCGUAUAGGGGAGCCGGAGGGAAACCGAGUCUUAACCGGGCGUUAAGUUGCAGGGUAUAGACCCGAAACCCGGUGAUCUAGCCAUGGGCAGGUUGAAGGUUGGGUAACACUAACUGGAGGACCGAACCGACUAAUGUUGAAAAAUUAGCGGAUGACCUGUGGCUGGGGGUGAAAGGCCAAUCAAACCGGGAGAUAGCUGGUUCUCCCCGAAAGCUAUUUAGGUAGCGCCUCGUGAAUUCAUCUCCGGGGGUAGAGCACUGUUUCGGCUAGGGGGCCAUCCCGGCUUACCAACCCGAUGCAAACUGCGAAUACCGGAGAAUGUUAUCACGGGAGACACACGGCGGGUGCUAACGUCCGUCGUGAAGAGGGAAACAACCCAGACCGCCAGCUAAGGUCCCAAAGUCAUGGUUAAGUGGGAAACGAUGUGGGAAGGCCCAGACAGCCAGGAUGUUGGCUUAGAAGCAGCCAUCAUUUAAAGAAAGCGUAAUAGCUCACUGGUCGAGUCGGCCUGCGCGGAAGAUGUAACGGGGCUAAACCAUGCACCGAAGCUGCGGCAGCGACACUCAGGUGUUGUUGGGUAGGGGAGCGUUCUGUAAGCCUGUGAAGGUGGCCUGUGAGGGUUGCUGGAGGUAUCAGAAGUGCGAAUGCUGACAUAAGUAACGAUAAAGCGGGUGAAAAGCCCGCUCGCCGGAAGACCAAGGGUUCCUGUCCAACGUUAAUCGGGGCAGGGUGAGUCGACCCCUAAGGCGAGGCCGAAAGGCGUAGUCGAUGGGAAACGGGUUAAUAUUCCCGUACUUGGUGUUACUGCGAAGGGGGGGACGGAGAAGGCUAUGUUGGCCGGGCGACGGUUGUCCCGGUUUAAGCGUGUAGGUGUGUGUUCCAGGUAAAUCCGGUUCACUUUAACACUGAGGCGUGACGACGAGGCACUACGGUGCUGAAGCAACAAAUGCCCUGCUUCCAGGAAAAGCCUCUAAGCAUCAGGUAACAUCAAAUCGUACCCCAAACCGACACAGGUGGUCAGGUAGAGAAUACCAAGGCGCUUGAGAGAACUCGGGUGAAGGAACUAGGCAAAAUGGUGCCGUAACUUCGGGAGAAGGCACGCUGACACGUAGGUGAAGUGAUUUACUCAUGGAGCUGAAGUCAGUCGAAGAUACCAGCUGGCUGCAACUGUUUAUUAAAAACACAGCACUGUGCAAACACGAAAGUGGACGUAUACGGUGUGACGCCUGCCCGGUGCCGGAAGGUUAAUUGAUGGGGU